GGCCCUGUGGCGCAACGGAUGACGCGUCUGACUGCGGAUAAGAGGAUUCCAGGCUCGAAUCCCGGCAGGGUCG
rnacentral:tRNA from 1 species